GACGAACGCUGGCGGCGUGCCUAAUACAUGCAAGUAGAACGCUGAAGGAAGGAGCUUGCUCUUUCCGGAUGAGUUGCGAACGGGUGAGUAACGCGUAGGUAACCUGCCUGGUAGCGGGGGAUAACUAUUGGAAACGAUAGCUAAUACCGCAUAACAGUAGAUAUCGCAUGAUAGCUGCUUGAAAGGUGCAAAUGCACCACUACCAGAUGGACCUGCGUUGUAUUAGCUAGUUGGUGAGGUAACGGCUCACCAAGGCAACGAUACAUAGCCGACCUGAGAGGGUGAUCGGCCACACUGGGACUGAGACACGGCCCAGACUCCUACGGGAGGCAGCAGUAGGGAAUCUUCGGCAAUGGACGGAAGUCUGACCGAGCAACGCCGCGUGAGUGAAGAAGGUUUUCGGAUCGUAAAGCUCUGUUGUAAGAGAAGAACGAGUGUGAGAGUGGAAAGUUCACACUGUGACGUAUCUACCAGAAAGGACGCA
rnacentral:rRNA from 1 species